UCAUUUGUGCGCAGCCGAGAAAUUUCGAAAUACGCAUUUUUUCAAGUCGCACGAUCCGGACCUAGCACAACGUAAAAUCACGCGUGUGUGGCAAAGUUAACGGGCGGUAGUUGCUGCGUUGUACAUUGGAAACUUAUUUGUUUUGCAAGUUUGCGCAAAAAUGCAAUAAUCUGUGGCAGAAAACUAAACUAUUUUAAGCUUUCAAGAAAUAAUUGCUAACAACGGCUGCAAUUUCAGCAAUAACUGCGGUGUAAUUUAUAAUAUGUAGCAUACUUUUGUGCGUGAGAAGAAAUUUUAAUUUAAACGAAAACGGUUGCAUACAUUCAGGCGCAUAAAUAAAAAUACUGGCGUUUUAAGGAAAACUAUAUAAAAAUUGAGCUAUUAUUUGCUCCAAUUCCAGAACGAUUUGUGAAAGUAAUAUUACUCCAAAAACUGUUGCCUACCUUAAGGCGCAUAAGUUGAAUUACUGGCAUUUUCUCGAAAACUAUACAAUAGACUGGCGUUUUAAAGAAUGCUAUAGAAAAAUUACGUUGUUAUAGUUUCAACCGAGAAUCCAUUUGCGAAAAUAUUAUAAAAUCAAAAACUGUUGCAUACCUUCAGGCGCAUAAAAAUGAGAUGCCGGCGUUUUAUAUAAUAAAAUCGAUCACUUAUUAGUUUCAACUGAAGAACGAUUUGCCAACAUUUUAUGACUAAAACUGAAAACUAUUGCAUACCUUCAGGCGCAAACGAAGAGAUACUUGUUUUCUUCGAAAUAUGUAAAAAAAAUUGAUCUCUUUUUAACUGCAAUUGGAGAACGAUUUGUUAAAAUUUUAUUGAAGCAAAAUUUGCUGCAUAACUUUAGGCGCAUAAGUGAAGAUACUGGCGUUUUAUGGAAAAUUAAGUAAUAAGUUAACUCGUAUUAGUUACAAUAGAGGAAAGAUUAAUGAAAAUACUUUUAUAGGCUUAAAUUGCAUACUUUUGCGCGCAAAAUUCUUAAAAGUGACUGUUUUAGUAUAAUUUCUGAGGAAAUGUUUGAAGUCAUUAUUAGUGAAUUACUAAAUGGCUUGGCAAAUAUUUAACACUACCAACAAUUCGGCAUGGCUGAGGCUGAAAUAAAGAUUUAAAGUAACUGUGAAGGCUAAAAUAUAACAUAGAAAGACUUUUCGGAGAACGUAACUAAUUUUCGUGUGGAGUUUUCAAAUUCAAGUUUGUAAAAUAGUACGAGAGGCAUGUUUCUGUGGGAAUAUUAAACAUUAAUAAACAUAAAAAGUUUAUUCAUAUGAUACUAACUCUAAUAAUUGCAUAAUUUUCGGCUGAGUUUAUCAAAAACUAUAUUUUAAGGCCAAAAGCUUUGCAUACAUUUUAGCAUACGGCUGCUAGAAAAGACAUUCUCGAAAUUAAAAUUAAUUUGCAACAGCUGAAGUGCAUAUUUCAAACCUUAAGCAGUGUUUGCAUAAUUUAAGCAACCUAAAAGUAUACUAAAUAAUUCGAAACAUGUAAAUAAUGUGAAAUUUUUAAACGCCACUAACAAAAAAACAACAAUUACAUAUAAACACAAAAAAUUUAAAAAUAUUGUUAACUGAUACAACGCCUAAAAUUAGGCUACAAAAUUAAUAAGCAUUUUUCAACCGUACUUUUGGUAACAAUACAACAUAUUUUCAUAUAAGCAUAUCAUUUGCUAGAAUAAAAAUAACAACAAAAAUAUACCAACUAAUACUUUUCGAAACGUUAUUUAUACACAAAACUACACUGAGAGUAUAUCUCGCUCGCUUAAAGUUGAACGGUUGUGAACAGUACGCUAGCACACAUACACACACACAUCAAAAUAUAUAAAUACAUGCUGUGUAAGUUGUGGCUGAGUUUGGAAAAUAAUAAAUAUAAGCUCUUACUAACUUUUCGUAAAGCACAUUGCAUACUUUAAGGCGCACUUUGUAAGAAAAAUUAAAUUUAAACGCAGAUAAGCAGUAAAAGUUGGAUGAAAAGAAGUAUAAAAAUUACGAAAAAUUUAAAAUUAUUUAUAAUAAAAAAAUUAUAAAUACGCGUUUGACAUUUUGUUGCCAUUUUGCCGUCGCUUUGACGCUUUGCUCUCGUCGCAGCGCACAACAACGCACAACUAAAGCAAGCAUUGCAAGCAUAUUACGUUGAAAGUGACAAUAAAAGUACGGCGAAGACAAAAAUACAAAAAAAAAAAAAUAUUUAACACACAAGCAAUUUGCGCUCUUUGGAGAAAGCGAAUUAAGAAUUUUCUACAAAAGGACUUUGGCGCGGCGAACUGUGUGAAAGACAAGCGACGGAGCCAACAAGCAGCCAGCAAAGUAGAUAAACAGCAGCAGACACGUGGACACAAGCAGUAAAAACAGCAACAAAAGCGGCAACAGGAAAAUCAAAUAAUAUACACAAAGGGUGACACGGCGUAUGAGUAACUGGAAAUUCAUAAAAUUCCUCACUAAAAGCAGGCAAUUAAGUGAAGUUUGAAGCGGUUAAUUUAUCAACUGAUUUGCAGUUAAAAUUAUAUAAAAAACUGUGUUAACUGAUUUUGCUUUGAAAAGUGCUAAUAACACAUAGAAACUCGGCAGCAAGCAGAAAAAUAUUGCUAUAAGUGUAAACUGUAUUAAGCAACCAUAAGAAAAUUCCAAAAAUUCCAAUAAUUAAUAGUUAAUAAAACCUACAGCAACUGUAGUUAUAUAGCUACAAAAAUAAUAAUAAAAAGUAAUAAAAAAUAAACUGCAAACGAAUUAAAUAGCAAUAAAAUGCGCAAAACUGCUGCGUAGCUAUUUCAUGCCAAUAAAAAGCCAACAACAAUAACUUUAAAAUACUGCACAAAACAUAUACCCAACUCAAUUAAAAUUAUUACAUGCCAUAAAUCAAUUAAUUAAAUGUACAUAAAAAUCAACUGAUAAUGCGACGGCAAACCGGGCAGAAAAAAAUCACCAAAACAGUGCUUGAUAAAAAAUUGGAAAGUGCAACACAAGCAGCUUUUUUUAAGCACACAAAGUGUUACAAGUGAAGUGGUUGUUGAAAAAACACAUUGUGCAAAGUUAAAGUUUGUACAAAAAGUGGCUUAAUUUUACAUAAAGCGAAAUUUAUUAAAAUAUUGGCAACGUGAGUGGCUGAGAGCGCCACAGUUCGUGCAAAAACCUCGAAAA
rnacentral:lncRNA from 1 species